rnacentral:rRNA from 1 species
AGAGUUUGAUCCUGGCUCAGAACGAAUUCUGGUAGCGUGGAUUAGGCAUGCAAGUCGAACGGGAUCCGGUUGAUAGCAAUAUUGACUGGUGAGAGUGGCGGAUUGGGGAGGAACACGUGAACAACCUGCCCUUGAGUUCGGGAAAACCGUUGGAAACGACGGCUAAUAUCGGAUGUGGCGCCCGGUGACAUCACUGGAGCGCUAAAGGGGGCCGCAAGGCUCUCGCUCGAGGAGGGGUUCGCGCAUCAUCAGCUAGUUGGCGGGGUAACGGCCCACCAAGGCGUACGAUUAGCUGGUCUGAGAGGAUGACCAGCCCCACUGGGACUGAGAUACUGCCCAGACUCCUACGGGAGGCUGCAGUCGAGGAUCAUUUGCAAUGGGCGAAAGCCUGACAAUGCGACGCUGCGUGGAGGAUGAAGGCCUUCGGGUUGUAAACUCCUGUCAUAAGGGAACAGGCGAUGUGACCUAAUACGUCACAAAGUUGAGUGUACUUUAAGAGGAAGCGACGGCUAACUCUGUGCCAGCAGCCGCGGUAAUACAGAGGUCGCAAGCGUUGUUCGGAUUUACUGGGCGUAAAGGGCGCGUAGGCGGUCCCAUGUGUCGGAUGUGAAAUCUCCGGGCUCAACCCGGAAAGUGCGUCCGAAACUGUGGGACUCGAGUCUGGGAGAGGGAAUCGGAAUAUAGGGUGUAGCGGUGAAAUGCGUUGAUAUCCUAUAGAACACCGGAGGCGAAGGCGGAUUCCUUGAACGGUACUGACGCUGAGGCGCGAAAGUCGGGGGAGCAAACAGGAUUAGAUACCCUGGUAGUCCCGACCUUAAACGGU